GCUGGGAUAACUCAGUUGGUGGAGCACAAGACUCUUAAUCUUGGAGCCGUGGGUUCAAGCCCCUCGUUGGGCA